GCAAUUUUAAGAUUUUCUGAAUACUAAAAUAAAAUUACCUGUUAUUUAUUUAGCAAAAUUUUGAAAUGGUUAAUGGGGCAACUUUCAUUGACGUUCCAAGUGAAGGAAUUCUUGCAGACAUCGACCUUCAUCAAGCACUUAACCUAGAUACACCAAAAUAUGGAAAUAACUACUCAGACAUCUGACAAGAAAAGGGUGUCAAGCCUUGUUUACAGCAGUUUGGAACGCCAGGACUGGUGAACUUGGAUGAGGUGUCAAAAUGCCCCAAGAAGUCAUCCCAACACCCCUUCACACUCUGGCAUCAAGGUUAGGGUCUCCUGCAGUAUCAUCACAACACUAAGCAAACUACUGUGUGGUGGCUUUCUGUCUAUUGCACUUGCUGAAUCCAGAGUCAAUAUUUAUCUUUGAUCCUGAUAUGUUGUUUGGCAAAGAGAAAGCACGAUGAACUUUUUUUUUUUAAUUAAAAUAUG